CCCUUAGAUGUUCUGGGCCGCACGCGUGCUACACUGAGUGGAUCAGCGGGUCAGGUUGCGCGAAUGCGUUUCCUAAUCUUUAAAUCCGCUCGUGAUGGGGAUUGACGGUUGCAAUUUUCUGUCAUGAACGAGGAAUACCUUGUAAGCGCGGGUCAUCAUCCCGCGCUGAAUACGUCCCUGCCCUUUGUACACACCGCCCGUCGCUCCUACCGAUUGAGUGGUCCGGUGAGGCUUUGGGAUCUGAGCGGAAAGAGCGUUUCGCUGUUUCUGCUCGGAAAACUCAGUCGAACCUUAUCAUUUAGAGGAAGGAGAAGUCGUAACA
rnacentral:rRNA from 1 species